rnacentral:rRNA from 1 species
AUGGCGGAGGAAGCGAAGCAGGAUGUGGCGCCACCCGCGCCGGAGCCGACCGAGGACGUCGCGGACGAGAAGGCGGCGGUUCCGUCGCCGGAGGAAUCCAAGGCCCUGGUUGUCGCCGAGAAUGACGCCGAGAAGCCUGCAGCUACAGGGGGCUCACACGAACGAGAUGCUCUGCUCACGAGGGUUGCGACCGAGAAGAGGAUUUCGCUGAUCAAGGCAUGGGAGGAGAAUGAGAAGGCCAAAGCCGAGAACAAGGCCGUGAAGUUGCUGGCGGACAUCACCUCGUGGGAGAACUCCAAGGCCGCGGAACUGGAAGCCGAGCUCAAGAAGAUGCAAGAGCAGCUGGAGAAGAAGAAGGCGCGCUGCGUGGAGAAGCUCAAGAACAGCGCCGCGACGGUGCACAAAGAGGCGGAGGAGAAGCGUGCCGCGGCGGAGGCACGGCGCGGCGAGGAGAUCGUCGCGGCGGAGGUGACCGCCGCCAAGUACCGCGCCAAGGGUGAGGCGCCGAAGAAGCUGCUCUUCGGCAGAGGAUAG